UUCAGAGGAACCUGUCCUGUAAUUGAUAGUCCACGAUUUAAUUUACUUAUUUUAAUAGUUUACAUAUCGCCAUAGAUUGAAUAUUUUAAAAGAAUAUUAAUAUUCAAGAAUUUUUUUUAGAAAAUAAAUUAGGUCAAGGUGUAGUUUAUAAAUAAGAUGAGAUGGGUUACAAUAAUAAAAAUUAAACGAAUUAUUUAUUUAAAAUUAUUAUGAAGGUGGAUUUGAAGGUAAUUUUAAUUAAUUUAUUAAAAUGAUUUUGGCUCUAAAAUAUGUACAUAUCGCCCGUCACUUUCACUAUAAAGUGAAAUAAGUCGUAACAUAGUAGAUGUACUGGAAAGUGUAUCUAGAAAGACAAAUUAGAGCUUGAAAAAAGCAUUUUAUUUACAUUAAAAAGUUUAUUGUGAGAAUCAGUAUAAUUUGAAUUUAAUUUAUUAUUAAUAUUAUAUUUUUAAAUUUUAUUUUAAAAAAAUAGUUUAUUGUUUUAUUAAUUAAGAUGAAUAAAUUUGUUUUAUUAUAGUGAAUUAUUAUUGUAAAAGAAAUAAUAAAAAUAUUUGAAAUAAUAAUUAAAUUUUAAAAAACAUGGCCUUUUGAUUUUAAUUUAAGGUCUCACCUGCCCAAUGAAUAGUUAAAUGGCCGCGGUAUUUUGACCGUGCAAAGGUAGCAUAAUCAUUUGUUUUUUAAUUGAAAGCUUGAAUGAAAGGUUGAAUGAAAAAAUUUCUGUCUCUAUUUAAAUUUAUUAUAAUUUUAUUUUUAAGUUAAAAAGCUUAACUAAAUUUUGAAGACGAGAAGACCCUAUAGAGUUUAAUAAUUAAAUGAAUUAAAAUUUUUAGGAUUUGUUUCUUUUAAUUUUGUUAAUUAUUUAAUUGGGGUGAUUAAAAAAUUUAUUUAACUUUUUUUGUAUAUUUACAUAAAUUAAUGAAUUAUUGAUCCUUUUUUUAAGAUUAAAAGAUUAAAUUACCUUAGGGAUAACAGCGUAAUUUUUUUUUAGAGUUCAAAUUAAAAGAAAAGAUUGCGACCUCGAUGUUGGAUUAAAAAUAAAAUUUGGUGUAGUAGCUAAAUUAUUAGGUCUGUUCGACCUUUAAAAUUUUACUUGAUCUGAGUUCAAACCGGUGUAAGCCAGGUUGGUUUCUAUCUCAAAAUAGAUAAAAUAUUUUAGUACGAAAGGACCUAAAUGUUUAGUUAAAAAUUUCUAUUAGUUGAAUAAUAUUAGUUAUUUUGGCUAGAAUAGUGCGAAUGGAUUUAGAAUCUUUAUAUGUAAUUUUUACAAAUAAUACUUGAUAUUAAAAGAUUUACUUCUAAUAUUAAUUUCUAUAUUAAUUUUGGCUUUUUCUGUAAUAAUUGGGGUUGCCUUUUUAACAUUAUUAGAGCGUAAAGUAUUAGGAUAUAUUCAAAUUC
rnacentral:rRNA from 1 species